rnacentral:rRNA from 1 species
GACGAACGCUGGCGGCGUGCUUAACACAUGCAAGUCGAACGCUGAAGCUCAGCUUUUGUUGGGUGGAUGAGUGGCGAACGGGUGAGUAACACGUGAGUAACCUGCCUCCUUCUUUGGGAUAACGCCCGGAAACGGGCGCUAAUACUGGAUAUUCACUGGUCUUCGCAUGGGGGUUGGUGGAAAGUGUUUUUCUGGUGGGGGAUGGGCUCGCGGCCUAUCAGCUUGUUGGUGGGGUGAUGGCCUACCAAGGCUUUGACGGGUAGCCGGCCUGAGAGGGUGACCGGUCACAUUGGGACUGAGAUACGGCCCAGACUCCUACGGGAGGCAGCAGUGGGGAAUAUUGCACAAUGGGCGCAAGCCUGAUGCAGCGACGCCGCGGGAGGGAUGGAGGCGUUCGGGUUGUGAACCUCUUUCGCUCAUGGUCAAGCCGCAACAAUGGUUGUGGUGAGGGUAGUGGGUAAAGAAGCGCCGGCUAACUACGUG